UACGUAGGGUGCGAGCGUUGUCCGGACUUCUUGGGCGUAACGAGCUCGUCGGCGGUCUGUCGCGUCGGAUGUGAAAACUCGGGGCUCAACCCCGAGCCUGCAUUCGAUACGGGCAGACUAGAGUUCGGUAGGGGAGACUGGAAUUCCUGGUGUAGCGGUGAAAUGCGCAGAUAUCAGGAGGAACACCGGUGGCGAAGGCGGGUCUCUGGGCCGAUACUGACGCUGAGGAGCGAAAGCGUGGGGAGCGAACAGG
rnacentral:rRNA from 1 species